rnacentral:lncRNA from 1 species
AAUGUGCUCCUCGCUGAGCUUUAUGAUUUCCAUUGUCAUUCUUCCCUCUCCUCUCUGAUUGCUUUUCAUCGUCUCUUUGCGUUUACCCUAUUUUCGUGACUCUCUUCUCUUUCUUCUCCCCGUACCAUUAUUUUGAUCGUUUCUGAAUCUUGUGAUUGCUUCAAUGCAUGUGAUCCCUCUCCUCAGCCUUCCCCUCCUAAAUCUUAGAAUCCUAAUGCCGUAGGUGCUAUGUCGGAAAUCCAUUUUUUAUCCUCUGCCCCAAGGAAAAUCAAAGAAGAAGAAAGCCAUGGUAUUCUCUACUUGAAUUCAGGAAGAUUCAGAUACCGAAAGCAAUAGGAAUGGGAAAGCGGAGCGGGCAAUAGGUUUAGACUGAGCACUAGAGCCUGGAAUAGCAGGAGGUUGGGAAAUAUGCCAUGCAGAAUUCCAAUAAGUUGGCACCGCUUUUCCUUUCCAUAUGAAAAAUGGAGAGGAAAAGCAUGGGUGGACCAAGCGUUUUAACCGGAAUCUAGUGACGGAGAAAGAAGAAAGAAUGGGAAGAAAGCAGCCAUGGGCAAGCUUUAAUUAAUAGAAAUAAGUAGGAGUUACAGCCUUUAAAUUCGAGUGAAACGAGCCUUUGACGUAGUCACAAAUUCGACUGCCCUUUCACUAUUAUUAUUAUUUCGAGUAAUAGCGGAAGGAGUGCCAAAGCCCAUUUUAGUAGAAAGUUGCUGCCCUUUUAUAGUAAUGUGGAGUGACAUAAUCAAUCAAAUUCGACUGGUUGGUUCCCCUUAUUAGUCAAUUGCUUUUGACGUAUCAGGUGGGAAUGGGAGAGCCUCUUUUCUUUCCGCAAUGGAAUCGGCUUAAGCUCGACCUUUUCUUUCAUUUCCUAUCAUAGGGAUAUAAAAAUAAAUCCAAUUGCAUUUUUCUUAGUUUAGAAUAUCAAAAGACAUCCCACAACCCGGUCUUAGGUUCAGAGUCGCUUUGUGGGAACUUCAAGAGAGAGAAGAGAGAUCAUAGCUUAAUAUCAAAGGUCAGGUAUACCUGCCUACGUUCGACAUACACAUUCACUAGUUCCAUUCGAAACCUUUCUCUAGAUGGAAUCCUGAUUCGACUUUCAAAUGCAAGAGCAAUAAUGCCGUGAGGGAGCCCUAUCUAAAAAAUGCAAGGCCAGAUCCCACUUUCUUUAAUCGAGCGGGCAAGGGAUCGCAAACAUCUUUUCUUUUCAGAGAGAAGGUUUUCAAAAGAUAUCCCGAAGGGGUCUUAGGUAAGGUAAGGAGUGACAACUCCAUUCAAUAAGCUGGCUCUUUAAGGGAAGAUAGGGCAUCUCCUAAAAUGUGGAAGUUUGGUGCUUUAGAGAUAGGGCCGGCACGCUUUGCUAGAAAGCAAUAAGUCAACAAAACAAGGUAGGUCUACCCCCUAAUAAAGGUUUCGCUCGACGACCCGAUAUCCAUUCUCGAUUAAAGCACGGAGAGUUAGGUUUAUUAUCGCCAGUUUGAUGCUAUCUUCUCCACGACUUGGUUCUUAUGGAUCUCCUCCAGGUCCUAGGCAUCUUGUCUCUAGCUCUGCUCUCUAUCGGUAGUCAAAUCAGUACUUUGUCUUUGCCUGUCUCUGUCCAUUCCUUCAACACUGAUGGACUCGGAGUGGCAUAACCCCUUUAAUAAGAAGCAUAAGACCUAAAGCGAGGAGAUAGAAUCGAAAGAAUGAUAGCAAGCUCUUUGAAAGUGGGAAGAAAGCCAAGGAUACAGUGGUGUGUAGGGUCUUUCAAAUCAAUCAGGAAAGCGUGAGCUGAGAAGGAACACGGCUUUCCGCGCCUUGACAAGUGGAUCUACCAAGAAUAGCUUUUCAGCCGUUACUUAUUAUAUAAUAGCUCGAUCCGCUCACGCAUGUGAUUGAUUUCUCCCCUCUCUUUCAAAAAUCUUCCAUUCGAACAGGAAGAUUCCCUUCUCGCUGUGUAUCCAGAACCUGAGGAUGACGAGGAUCUAUAAAGGUUCUUUGAUCGAGCUCUCGGUUCGGCUUCUUUUGUUGCCGAAGACCAGGACCCAUCUUAUUUGCUGAAAACCUGUCUGUUUAGGGACUCUUUCCUUUCAAUGGACGUACUUGAGUGGAACUGAUUCUACCUUGAGAGCGCUUCCCUCUUUUCUGAUUCCUUCCCUUUGACCACCGAAAAUACAACUUCUAAUAGCCGUUUCUAUUUUUUAGAUGUUUCAAACAAGUGAUUUUACACUUUUAUCCUUCCUGUCUUUCCUUGAUAGAGGAGUUUGACCCUUCCACUUCUGCCUUUGCCCUUUGUACUUCUUGCCGCAAUUGAGAUCCCUGUUAAGGAAGAAUAUCUCGCUCGUGCUUUUUUUUGCGAGGAAAUCGCUCUACUUUUUCCAGCGAUGAGUGAUUGAGUAAGGUCUAAUUCAAUUUGUGUUAUGACCUACCUUUUUUGAUUGAAGUAGACGAGAGCUUUACUUCUUCUUUUCAAACCCUAAGGUUUGAGCUCGUCCUCGGGUCGGAUUCGGAUCCUUUUCUCUCUUUUGAAAUUCCAUAGAUAUAGAUGUCUCGACUACCGAAUCCGAAUCCUUAGAACAACUCGAUUCCGUUGAUUCACUGUCCAUUUGUCCUUCAACCGGAUUAAUGGUCAACGACUUUGACAGCCUUUCCUUCACACAAGGUUUUUAAUCCAUCUCUGUAACGCCCACGAUGCGGCUAUAUCUCCCACGUGUCGAGGCACGACUUAGAGGCAUAACCGCAUAGUGGUUUUGUCGCAAGAAGGGUCAUCUUCACACAAUCCCAUGUAAUGACCAAGAAUGGGAUAAAGAGUUGGCUUACAAUCGCCACUUCACACAAUACAUAAAUAUAAUUCAUACAUCAUCCAAAAUACACACAUAUAGACCGACUACGGUCAAAAUCCAGAUGAAAAUAAGACAACCCCAAAUGCUAGAUCCCCGAUCGUCCCAACUGGGCUCUACUACUGAUCAUCGGGAAAAGACACAUAGUAACGACCACGUUCCUCGUCGAACUCCCACUUGAGAUCGAUCCCAUCAUCUGCACUGGCAUCGUCGGCACCUGCAACUGUUUUGGUAGAAUCUGUGAGUCACGAGGACUCAGCAAUCUCACACCCGCGAGAUCAAGACUAUUUAAGCUUAUAGGGAAGGAUGGUGUAAAGAGGUGGAGCUGCAGCGGCAAUAAGCAUAUAUGGUGGCUAACAUACGCAGAAGAGAGCGAGAAGAGAAGCAACGGAGCGGUCGUCAUCUAGCAAUGACCAAGAAGUGAUCCUGAACUCCUACUUACGUCAUACAUAACUCAAACCGUGUUCACUUCCCGGACUCCGCCGAGAAGAGACCAUCACGGCUACACACACGAUUGAUGUAUUUUAACUGGGUCAAGUGACAAGUUCUCUACAACCGGACAUUAACAAAUUCCCAUCUGCCUCAUAACCGCGGGCACGGCUUUCGAAAGAUAAUACCCUACAGGGGUGUCCCAACUUAGCCCAUCAUAAGCUCUCACGGUCAACGAAGGAUAAACCUUCUCCCGGAAAGACCCGAUCAGUCUCGGAAUCCCGGUUUACAAGACAUUUCGACAAUGGUAAAACAAGACCAGCAAAGCCGCCCGAUGUGCCGACAAAUCCCGAUAGGAGCUGCACAUAUCUCGUUCUCAGGGCAACACCGGAUGAGACAUCCUACGAGUAAAAGCAGACCUCGAGUUUCCAGGAGGGGGCCCCGCAGUCUACUCAGUUCGGACCAACACUCGAAGGAGCACUGGCCUGGGGGGGUUAAAAUAAGAUGACCCUCGGGCUCGCGAAAACCCGAGGGAAAGGCUUAGGUGAAAAAUGGUAAAACCAAGGUUGGGCCUUGCUGGAGGAGUUUUAUUCAAGGCGAACUAUCAAGGGGGUCCCAUAAAUCACCCAGCCGCGUAAGGAACGCAAACUCAAGGAACAUAAUCCCGAUAUGACGGAAACUAGGGCGGCAAGAGUGGAACAAAACACCAGGCAUAAGGCCGAGCCUUCCACCCUUUACCAAAUAUAUAAAGAUGCAUUAAUUAAAUAAAAGAUAUUGUGAUAUCCCAACAUAUCCAUGUUCCAACAUGGAACCAACUUUAGCUUCACCUGCAACUAGCAACGCUAUAAGAAGGGCUGAGCAAAAGCGGUAACUUAGCCAAACAACGAUUUGCUAGGAAAGGAUGGUUAGGGGCUGACAUGGCAAUAUGGAAGGCAUGAUAUAGCAAGUAGUAGGUAGUGCAGCAUGGCAAUACAGCGAACAACUAGCAAAGCAAAGAUAGAAGUGAUUUCGAGGGGUGGUCAUCUUGCCUGCAAGGUUCUCAGAGUUGUCGAAAGCUUGAUCCUCGUAAGCGUACUCAAGAGGUUCCUCGUUCACGAACUCGUCUCCCGGCUCUACCCAAGACAAGAACACAAAUAAACGGAACCACAAUCAAUCACGAGAAAUGCACAAGCAACAUGAUGCAAAACAUGAAUGAUAUGCAAGAUAUGAUAUGCGAUGCAUAUGCGUGCUCCGGAAGGAAAAUGAUGAAAAAGGCAGUAACUUGGCAAACCAAGCAUGCCACUGGAAAGAUGAGAUGAUUUCGGUCGAAAUCGAUAUAAAGAUCACCGGAAACGGAUGCACGGUUUGCAAAUGGCAAGCAAAACAAGAAUGACACGAAUCUGCGAUUAACAGCACGAUAGCACUUAAAAUGUAACAAACAACAAUGCUACGACACUCCAACAUAGCAACAAACCAUAUGGCAAAACAAAAGCAUAGCAUGUGUGGAUCAACUACAACAAACUUGGCAAAUAUGAAUAUCAUCUUAAGAAUCUGCCAGAAAUAUUUUAUAGCAAAAGUAGAGCAAGAUUGAGUCAUACUAUGUCACUACAUAAUUGCAAAAAAGGGCAGGAUUGGAUCAAUUAAAACAAUAGCUACAAAAUAUCCUUACUUAAUAUUUCCAAAAUAUGCAUGGAUCUCUCUGUAGCAUCAAGUUUACAUGGCAACAAAAUAACAGCAGACAAAGACUUAGAGAAAUCACUAAGUCCCUGAAAUCAGAAACAUUACGGAGCCUAGUUUUCAUGCUUGUGCUAGUCACCACAGAGAUCACAAAAAUACAUGGCAUAUACCACUGGAAAGAUGGCAUGGCAUACAACAAAACACGUGUAGAGCUCAUGUCCACAAGAUGCAUAGAUUAAAUGAUACAAAAAUGACAAAUCUCCAAAUUCUGAUAAGAACCAGCAGAUAACAGCAACUGGCACUCUUGCACCAGAGAUUUGGGCAUCAAGAUGGCCUCUAAUGAACAUGGUGCAAUUGACCAAAAUGUAGAGCAUCACGAGACGAACAACUUGACAUAUUACACGCGCGAAAUAGAGCUAUGGACAGUGAGUUACGCAAUGAAGAACAAGUGCACAUGCUGUAGAAUUCUCAGGACUUGGAGAAAAAAAGGAGGGGGAGAGGUCAACGCACUGUAGCUUCAGAUCCGAUCGAGGGAGCUCGGGGACGAGGGAACUCGGGCUCGAGGCACCCGUGGCCGGCGCCGGAGACGAGGAGGAGGGACGGCGAGGGGAGGACGCGGCGCGGCGGCGGAGGAGGGGGCGCCGGGCNNNNNNNNNNNNNNNNNNNNNNNNNNNNNNNNNNNNNNNNNNNNNNNNNNNNNNNNNNNNNNNNNNNNNNNNNNNNNNNNNNNNNNNNNNNNNNNNNNNNNNNNNNNNNNNNNNNNNNNNNNNNNNNNNNNNNNNNNNNNNNNNNNNNNNNNNNNNNNNNNNNNNNNNNNNNNNNNNNNNNNNNNNNNNNNNNNNNNNNNNNNNNNNNNNNNNNNNNNNNNNNNNNNNNNNNNNNNNNNNNNNNNNNNNNNNNNNNNNNNNNNNNNNNNNNNNNNNNNNNNNNNNNNNNNNNNNNNNNNNNNNNNNNNNNNNNNNNNNNNNNNNNGAGCGGUGGCGCGCCACGUGGCGGCGGCGGGGAAGACGGACGUGUCCGUCGGUGGACGAUUUUGUCCGGCGGCGCGGGGGACGAGGUUAGGGUUUCAUCUGUAGACGUUUUUCGGGAGGGGCACAUAUAAAUAGGUAGAGGGAGCUAGGAGAGUCCAAAUGAGGUGCGGUUUUCGCCCACACGAUCGUGAUCGAACGACCUAGAGCAUGGAAGAGAGUUUGGUGGGUUUUGGGCUGGUUUUUAGGGGGUUUUGCUGCAACACACAAAUGGACUUUGCGGUUACCCGGUUAACCGUUGGAGUACCAAACGACCUCCAAAUGGAACGAAACUUGACCGGUGGUCUCCCGGUGGUAUACUAGGGCCACUUGACAAGUCUCGGUCCAUUCCGAGAAUGUUUGACACCCGCUCACGAAAGAAAACAAGAGGGGUGCACCGGAGGAGAUGGGAGCGCCGGAUUGCAAAACGGACAACGGGGAAAAUGUUCGGAUGCAAGAGACGAACACGUAUGCAAAUGCAAUGCACAUGAUGACAUGAUAUGAAAUGCAUGACAUGAACAAAAUACAAAACGACAAACAAAACCCGACCACGAAGGGAAUAUCAUAACACAUAGCCGAAAAUGGCAAGAGUCGGAGUCACAAAUAUGGAAAGUUACAUCCGGGGUGUUACAACUCCGCUUAGGGCAGUAAGGGGAAGUAGCGAUAUUCCGAUUCCUUCGUGGGGAAUCAACGAAGGCAGCCGCUCCAGCAGCUUUAGUACUUAAAUUAACGCCCCAGCCCUUAUCCCGUGAUGAGAAGGUAGAUGCGGUAAGCCAACUCCUAUCCUUCUUGCGGAAAGGGCAUUCAAUGCCAUCUUCAUUCCCUUCCUUGCUUCGAGGAGCAGGUCGAAUAGUCAAAGAAGGGGAUGGCUAAUUCCAGGAAUAGAGUAGCAUUCUCAAGCACUACCCUCCGUUUUUUCAGUCCAUAUAAAACAGUCAAUCUACCAGCAGCAGAGGCUGCAGAUACAUGUCCACCACCUGUUUAUCUACUACCAUAAGCGGGAGCAGUUGCAGGUAAAGAGUGUUGUGAGGGCUUUCAUUUGCGCGUUAAGGGCAGUUUCUGUUAUAGCACUAGAAAUCUGUGCCGUUAGUCGAAUGCUCGGAAUGAAAGAAUGACUAUUUCCUUGCUGGAACAUAAUGACAACAGCAGGAAUUCGGAAUAAGACAUGUUAAGUUUCUCCUCUUUCUGGCAUGGCCCUAGGCCGACGAACAGUGCACGCCCUCCACCCAACCCAAUCCACUCGUGUCCCUGCUUCUCAGAAUGACUCUUCUUUCACUGGUUUUGUUCGGAAAAACUUUCAAUCUCUCAACCUAGUAGUCUCUCAACCUUGAGGUUAGAUCUAUUACCACAAGGCCAAACUACAAACAACUCUGCUUGUGUUGGUUUUGAUCUCCAGCGCCUGAUAUUUUUGUUCUAGCUCUCCCCUGGCUCUAGUAUGGUCUUCCAUCACAAAAUCGUCCGAGGAGCCCGAUGGGGAAGAUGAAGAAAGCGGUGCCAUGACCGCUCGGCCUAUAGCAGCAAGUUGGCGCUACCCUCCACAAAUGCACGAAAGCAGAAAACAAGUUCGCCCACCCCUUGGCAGUGAAAUAACCGACACAUGCGGAGGUACUAUUCAUCGUGCAACGCGUCGUAGGACGGCCAAAUGUGCACACCCUCGGUUGGCAGGCCAUUUGAUCCUAUUGGGCCUCGGCCCAUCCGAAAAAGUGAUGGAAAAAAAUAAAGAGGAAGGGAAGCGAAAAAAGGUAGACAAAUUAUUUAAAAUGUUUCUAUGAAAUUUAAAGUAUUCAUGAAUUUAAAAUUCAUUGUUAAUAAGAAAAAAUGUUUAUGGAUUUGAAAAUUUUCCUGAUUUUUUAAAAAAAUCACAAAUUUAUGAAAUGUUUGUGAAUUUAGAAAUUGUUCGCAAAUUUAGAAACUGUUCACGAACUUCAAAAAAUGUUUCACGAAAUUAAAAAAUUAAUUUUCAAUAAAAUCUGAAAAAAAAUACACAAGUACUUAUAGAUAUAUACCAGAUCUGUGUAAAAAUUCAUCACAAAAUACACUUUUUUGUGGCCUGCAAAAAAUUCAUGUAUUUCUAUAGUGAAUAGUACAUAUGCUAGAAAUACGUGUUUUUUUUUCAUUUUUGUGUAGCUCAUAAAAAUAUUUCGUCAUGGAACUUCACAUACAAGUAGUAUACAUCCAUGAUCCAUAUGUAUAUGUGUAAAUGUUUUUGAAUUUGUUGAAAAUUUUGAAUUUUGAAUUUUUCAAAUAUAAACGGCUCCAUGGAGCUCAGGCUCCAAUAGGAAUUUUCGUGGAGUACAUGAAGAUUUCCUUGCGACUGUGCCUUGGCAUGUGUGAAACUGACUGUAAUCCAGGUUAAGUCAUGUCUUAAAUAUAGUUGGCCGUUGCCUUCCGAAAAAAUAUUCUCAAUUCUAAUUAAUGUGUACAUCUUGCUUAAACAUAAAUGUAUCAAAGAAUGCUUAAACACAAGUAAAUUGCAAGAAAUGUAUAUGUAGCACAGUGGGUGGACUGUAUUGCUAAUUCCAUCGAAAUAAUGUACAUGGAGCCAGCAACAAAGAAUAAAGACACACAUGUAGUACGCAUCUGUAGAAAACACAAUCACUGUGACACUGUCAUUGUCUGCUUAUACAAAUUACAAAAUUUUACAACAUGUACUGUACUGUAUUUUAUCCUAAAGGUGCCCGUUUUCGAUUCAAUCGGCCAAAUCUAAGCCCUGAUUGAACCCAAAAAAAACUCUAAAGAAAGAAAAGAAUGCAGCUAACACUUAACUAGCACACCUGAAACCGAUCUUCGCCCAAAACAAAGAGCGAGAACAGCUGAUGGGGCGUGGGUUUCUUAGACUUGGAUGAAGGAGUGACAGGGCACCCCCAUGAGCUGCGCGAGGCUGGUGGACCGGAGCUUCCUCUCGGUGACGGCGGGGUCCUCCAGGAGGAGCACCUUGUCCUUGUCCUGCACGCCGGCCAUGUGCAGGUGGUCGCCGUCGUCCCGCUCCCGGCCCCGGUACAGCAGCCGCUGCUCCCUGGGCCACAGCCCGGUGGCCAGCGACAGCAGCACCUUGAGGUCGCCGAAGGUGG